rnacentral:lncRNA from 1 species
AUGAGGAAAGGGAAUAAGAACAGUAAAGAGAUGAGACGAGAAGUGAGAAGUGGAAGGAAAGAAUGGGGAAAUGAGGAAAGGAAAGGGGAAAGAAAAAGAGCGAAGAGGUACCAAAAAAAAGGAGAAAGAAGAGAAGGCGGGAGGGCUAGGGUCACGAGCCAAAGAGCGAGACCUGCGCAGGCGCACCUGAAGCUCCGGGAAGGAGGGGAGGCGGGGUUGCUUCCUGCUCGGGUCUGGGUCCCGCUCCCGCCUCUUCCCUCCUCAGUCCUCCCCGGCUCUCCCGAAGGGGGGAGGGGAAAAGAUGAUGGGGGGGAGGGGGAACGAACGGGAGGAAGAGGGGGAGGAGUGAGAGCGCGGGAGCGCGCUUGGGCCGUGGGGCCGCGCGGGGCCGGAGCGCGCGAGGCUGGGGCGCGCGGGCAGCCCGUGGCUGCCUCUGGGGCUCUGUGCACUGGCGCCGCCGCCGCCUUCGCCGCUCCGGCCCGGGGUCCGGCUCCCGCCCUGCGCCCCCGCCUCCCGCCGGCCCGCCUGCCCGCGUCCUCGGAAGUUUGCGAUGAAGAAAUUGAGACACGGGGGCAGCUAGGUAGCACAAUGGACGGAGUGCCUGGCCUGGAGUAGAGAUGAUUUGAGUUCAAAUGUGACUUCAGGAACUUCCUAGCUGUGUGAUCUAGGGCAAGUCACUUAACUCCCAUUGCUUAGCCCUUGACACUCUUCUGUUUUAAAAUUGAUACUAAGAAAGAAGGAAAGGAUUUUUAAAAAGAGAGAAAGAAGGAAAUUGAGACACAAAGAAGUCAAAUAACUUUCCCAAGGUCAUUCAGCAAGAACUUUGUACAGCUAGAAAUAGAAUCCCAGUUUGUUUCCAGGUUGGUUGGAUGGCUCUUUGAACAUCCUUAUGAAGGAUGUUGUACUCCAUGUGAGGGCAUUACUGUACUUGAGUUUGGAUAAAUUGAACCAGGUUCAGAAGUUCAUUUCUCUGAAAUGAUUCCAGUAUCAGCUCUGCCCUUAUAAGUACUCCAAUUAAAAAGGAACCUACCUGAUAAGAACUUCCCAUACACAGUAUGGCCUAUUAGUUAGUGGACUUUCUAAAGCAGCUUGACAGUGUUUCUUGAAAGAUGGUCACGCUGGGAUAGUUAGGUGGCUCAGUGGCUAGAGCAACAGUCCUGAAGAUAGGAAGUCCUGGAUUCAAAAUUGGCCUCAGACACUUUUUAACUGUGUGACUCUGGACAAGUCACUUAACCCCAGUCACUUUGCCCUUACCAAUUUUGUACUUUGGAACCACUUCUUGUAUGAUUCAAAGAGAGAAGGCAAGAGGUUUUUUGUUUUUUAUUAUAAAAGGAAGAAAGAUGGUUAGACUCCUCUAGCAAAAGGGAUAAUGUAGCAAGACACAAGAUUCUUUUCCUUGGAGUUUUUCACUCAUUUCAUGUAUCCACAAGGAGCCAAAUUGCUAGAUUCUAGUUUGUUAGCUACAGUUGGUGCUGAAGAGGCUGUUAAACCCUGAUCCGUGAAGACCUUUGCUUCCUGAAGCUAGAAGGAUAGCUACAGACCAUUCUGUUGCUAAUGCCAGUCAUUCUUCCUGAGCUGGUACUUUGAGGGGACUAAACGCUGGUGACAGCUCUGUGUUGGUUAUGGUCAGGAAGGGGGGAAAAUGAAUAGCUCCAGUAGUCAUGGCUUCUCCCUGUCCCUUACUAACUGUUAAUGCACACUGAUCAAACUUAUUUCUAUUAUGAUAAGAUUGUCAUUUCAGCCAGCUGAUUUUAGCCUAGCCCCAGUGUUUAUUCAUAUUUGGCUGUAGUUAAAACGUUGGUGGGAAAUUAUGAGAAUAUUUGACAGUGAGCUUUAAAAAAAAAUACUCAUGCCUAGGAAGGAAUUUAUGCCAAGAAAUGUUUGCAUUGCCUUUAAUAAGAAAGAGCCCAUUUCUUAAUUCCAAUAUGGGUAAGAUGUUCAUUACAUAAUAAUGCAAAAUCUUGACUGUCUACCAAGGACUAGUAUAGCGAAAUUUAUAGAGCACAUUACCAGAAAGUUAGCUAGCUGGGGAUUAUUUUUUUCUUUCCCAGCCACAGAAUCUCACAAAGGCAGCUAGCUAUAUUGUAGGGUGACAUAAAAUUCAUGUGAUUUUUUUUUUUUUAGAGAUAGCUUUACUUUCAUACCAUCAGGGAUUUGUGUUUUCAUCAGUGUAGAUUCCUUCUACAAUGUAGAUAGCAAUCACCCCACAAUAUACUCUGUGGUCUUCUGUGGGUGGGAGGAAAAAAAAAACAACAAUCCCCUACUGACCAUCUUUCUGGUAAUGAGCUUCUACCAGUUUAGCUAUGCUGGUUCCUUGGUAGAUUGAUGUGGUUCAUCUCUGGGUUCAUCCCUAAAGCCUAGACUAGUUGUUAACACUUGUCAGCCAGACUAGCCAUAAUAAGAGACUUUUAUUUUAGAGUAAGUAUACAAACCAUUCAAGCAAUAAAAGGGAUGAAGCAAUCA